UGUUGCAAAAACUCAACUCAAAGUGGCUUAAGAGAAAGAAGGGGAAUGUAUUGAUUCAUAAUCCUAGAAAGUCAGGGAGCAUGACAAUACCUUCAGGCAAGCCGGACCCAUGUGCUCACGGGGCAUCGCCAGGAAUGUGCGUCCGUCUCUUAGUUCAGCUUUAUUUUAUGUUGGUUUUACUUUCCGAUCCACUUUCCACAAGUGUGGUCAAACAAGGUGUGUUAGAGUCCUCCAGGGAGAUAGAGGCAGGGAGACUCGGGAGAGCGAGCCCAGGGGAGUAGUUGAAAGGCCUCAGAGCCAGAGAGCCGAGGGUGUAGGUUCCGGGCUGGGUCUGAAGGGCUGAGACCCAGGAGUGCUGAGGUCAGAAGAUGAAUGUGCCAGCCUAAGUAGUAGGGCAGAGUGAAUCCAACCUUUCUCCACUUGUUUUGUUCUAUUCAGGCCCUCAGCAGAUUGGGUGAGGUCCAUCCGCACUGGGGAGGACCAUCUGCUUUGCUCAAUCCGCCCAUUCAAAUGCUGAUCUCUUCUGGAAACACCCUCGCAGACACACCCAGAAAUUAUGUUUAACCAGCACAUUUUGUGGCACAGUCAAGUUGACAUGUAAAAUUAACCAUCACAGAGGGCCUACCGGCAGCUCUGGGAUCGUGUUUGACUAACCGAAUAACCUAGGGGGGAAAGAAAGGAGAGUCUUUCCUUCCAAAUCAUUCCAGCCCAAAUCCCAGUGCUGAGUCCCUUUGGCCAGGCCUGGGCCACGGAGCCUUCUCUUCAGCUGAGAGAUGGUGUGGGGCGCACGUGAACUAUGUAAUAAUGAUAGCGGCUAAAAUUUAUCGAGUACUAAUUACGUGUCACCUGAGGAGUCGGAGUUCGAGUUCCAUGGUAGAUGUGUCAUCCUGGGCAGUGUUGUCCCCCCACAUCUGAAAAAGACUCACAGCCCGUGUCCUUGAUUUGAUUUCAGUCACUCCUCUUGACAACCCGACUGAAAUGGAUUCUAUUCUCAUUUUACAGAUGAAGAAACUGAGGUUCAGGCAGGUUAACUAUAUUAUACAAAACGAAAGAAUUCGCAAGUGGUGAACCCACUCAUGUGGAUUGAGACUGUGGGAUUAGGCGGUUCCCCCCAAGAAGCAUCAGAUGCUCCUUCUGACAUUGGAGACAGAGCCCAAAACAAAAACAAACGAAAACAAAACAAAAGAACCCCACAGAAUACAGGCCUAUGAAAACUCUAUAAAACCAUCACUAAUACACUCAUAAAGGCAAAAGAAUAUGUUGCACUCUUGUUAUAAGAAGAGGGAUGAUGUGAUCAUACCUUCAAGAGAAUUAAAAAAGAGCCCUUAAAGGUUAAAGCAGGAGCACAGACCGAAAAAGGUACUAUAAGAGUUGGAAGAUCAAUUUGAGGAAACUCCUGAAGAAGACAAAGGGAUGGAAAAUAGAGAAAAGAUAAGCCUGGGAGGUUCAAUAUCUGAAUAAUCGAGUUCUAGAAAGAGAGAACAGAGAACAUUUAGGGGAGGCAGCCAUCAGUAAAACAAUAAAGAAGCAUUUACCGGAACUGAAGGACUUGAGGUUCCAGAUUGAAAGGGUCUUUCAAAUGCCCAUAAAAAAGGACGAAAAGAGACCCACCAAGACACAUCAUCAUGAAAUUUUGAAACACCGGACAAAGAGAUCUUAAAAUCUGAGAGAGAGAGAGAGAGAGAGAGAGAGCGAGAGAGAGAGAGAGAAGGGAGAGAAACAUAAAAAUCAUACAUAAAGGAUGAGCAAUCAGAUUUGGCUUUAAGAGAAGCCAAGAAAGAGGAAGGCAUGGGACUGCUCACAAAGGAAUCUGACCCAGAGGAGAGGUGGAGGGGAUCCUCAGGGUGAGGGUGAUGGGAGAGUCCAGGGGACAGCCAUGCACUAGAUGCAGAAGGAAACGGUUCCGAUUGAAGCACCGUGACUGCAAAGACCUAGCCAGGGCUGCCGCCGUUAUUACCCUGUUACCUUCACGCUAACCUUAAACCAAGGGUGAAAUGCCCAGAGAGUCCAGCCCGAGGUUUUCUCCGUGCUCACCUUAUUUUGACCACAUGUUGGUGACGUUCCUACUCAUUCCCGCAUGCCCCGCUGCCUGACGCGCUGCAUAUAUCAUCUAGAAAUGCUGGAGGGGAAGUCGUGGCGACCAGAAAAGACAGAACGGCCUCUCCCUCUGGCCAAAUACCUAAAACCUGGUCCAUGCCAUGGUGCUGCCACACGUCUCAGCUGUGCUGAGCCUGAUGCCCAAGGUUACUCAUCCCUUACUCAGUGAUUUUCCCAUCAAAGGCUUUUGUAAAUGCUCAGGGAAGCUGAAGUCAGACAACGGCCCGGAGACUGUUCAGUUUAGCUUCUCCCCCCAGCCUUCCUCCGGCAGUGGUGGGUUUAGCCUCUCCUUAUAGUCCCAGAUUGCAGCUCGCUGCUCCGAUUUUCAAAACUUAGCAAUAUUUAGGGAUGCGUGUGUAGGUGGAAAGCUAAAGAGGGCAAACGGGAAUGGUCAACACGAAAGCCAUCACAGUGGUUACUGCUGGGGGUAGAGAAGAGACUACUAUUUGAGGAGGAGUAAACAGAGCUCUGGAAGGACUGGCCAUUCUUUGUAUCUCCAACUGGCCCGAGGACUGUCUACCCUAUCAUUAUAUUUAAAUGGUACAAGUGAUUUUACUUCCUCUUUAUUUGCAUGGUGCAUGUCACAAAAAACCAUUUAAAAAUCAGGUGCUGUUACUCAAUAAAAGGGGAAAGGAACGUGGAAAGCAGAAAUAAGAGAUGUUCAUCCAGAAUCGUUGGAAAAUGAAAGGACAGGGGAAAACAUUUGCAUCUGGCCUCUUUGUUGCAAGGAACAGACUUGUUCAAUUCAACUCAAGAAAGGAAAGGGGUUGUUUUGAGCCAACAUGUGGAAUGGUAUGGAACGAUAAAACUCAGGCAGGUUUUGACUCUCCCUAGAGGCAUCUCUGGGUCUCUGUCUGCUGCGUUUCCUAUUGGCCGUAUAGUAAACCUCCCCAAAAUCCAUUGGUUUAAAACGACAAUCACCAUUUAUUUGUUGGCUCAUGAUGCUGUAAUUGGGGAAGGGAUUGGCAGGAAUGGCUCAUCUCUGCUCCAUGAAGUGUUGAUGGGCCAGCGUGACUGGGGCUGGAGGGGGUGGAUAGCUUCACUCACAUGUCUGGCUCCUCAGCUAAGGUGUCCAGAAGAGCUAGGGGUUGGCCAGGCCAAUCUUUGCAGCAAGGCUCCUUUACAUGGUGGCUCAGGGCUCCAAGAGAGGCAGAUCAGGAGCUCUCAGGCCCCUUAAGCACUAGGUCUAGAACUGGCACCAUGUCACCGCCACUGCAUUUUGUUCUAAGCAACUCCAUUUGGUGAGGAGGAGAAACAGAUUUCGCCUCUUGAUGGGAGAAGCGGCAUGUUCUCCCAUAGAUGGGAAGAGUACUUGGCAGCUGUUUUUGCAAACAAGUUGCCGUAUCUUUUCCCCUACCCCAGAAUUUUGGAUCGCGUAUAAUUUUCAUUUGCUAUUGCCUUAACUUCACUCAUGAUUUCCUGUCACCUCCAACUUUCCUGCUAACUAGCAAAUACUUUUUGUGUUUUGGGGCUCAAAUGCCUAAGAACUGCUUGGUUCGGUUCAUCUUUUUGUUCCAUGUGAGUGGUCAAACGUCAGAGGCCAACCUAUUUUUGUCCUUAAGUUUUGGUUUGAAAAACAUUAAGUCUUCAGAAUAGUGGCAAGAAUAAUACACUGAAUGGCUAUACGCCCUGCACCUGGAUUCACCAAUCUUAACAUUUGCCACAUUUGCUUGAUCAUACUUUCUCUUUCUAUGAGUAUGUGUAUGGAGUUGGUUGGAGACAUCAUGACAUUUUACCCUGGAAUAUUUUAGCAUAUAUCUCCUAAGAACAAGGCAUUCUCUUACAUAACCACAGUCAAAUGAUCACACUCACGAGAUUUAACAGUUACAUACGAUUGUAACCUAACGUGCUACCCACAUUCAUAUUUCCGCGGUUGCCCCAGUAAUGUCUUUUAUAUAUGAUUUUUUAAUCCCUUAUUGAAACUAUGAUGACACGUAGAAAUUAUGUCUCCACACGUGUCUCCUCAAUGUACUUUUAUUUAGACAAGUUUCCUGGCUGUCUUUCAUCUUUUGUGACAUUGACUUUUUUGGAAAGCCUAGGCCAGUUGUUUGCACAGCGUCUUUCGACUUUGGAUUUGCAUAAUUAUUUCCUCUUGGCUAGAUCCAGCUUAACUCUCUGUGGUAGGAACAGGUGAUGUGUGGCCAGCCAGUUGACUGGCUACUUUUGACAGUUGCUGGAUCAUCGUCUAUCUGUGCUCACUCCCACUGUCCCUUUCCCCACUCCCCUCCCCCGUCCUAUCCCAGGUUUCUUAGUCCUGAGACCUGUGGGUGAGUUUGGCCAAGAGAAGGCAAUGGCGGAUGACUGGAGAGUAGGAGAAAGGGAAAGACUGGAAUCUUUCUCCUGUUUCUGUGUUCCUGUGAGGUCUCUGUGGCUACUCCUGUGAGUCUCCUGCUCCCUCCAAACAGACCCUUCCGUGCGUUUCAGGCUCCCCGGACAUCCUCCUCCUUGGUUCUGGCUCCUGGCUGGCCCCAACUUCUGUGCUCCGAUAAAACCCCCCUCUCAUGCUGCCCCUUCAGCCCUGGGGAGGCAGUGUCUUCCGGCUGCUUCUAACCUCACCAUCCUGUGGUUGGCCGCUCAGCUUUUCCACUUCCUGCGUAACCAAUUUUCUUUAUUUGGAGCGAAGGGCCCAGGGUGGUGUCUGUUUUCCUGACUAAACCCUGACUAAUGCCGAUAGGGUGCUCAUCCUUGGUCUAAUCUGAGUGACGUGUGGAAUGGGGUUGCAUGGAAUCAGCUACGGCAGUAUUAGCAGUAGGGGCCCCAAGAGGGGAGAGUCCUUUAGAAGGAGGAAUGAGCACAGUAGCCCCCUUCCUGUGUAGGCAAAGGCAACAUCUCUGGGUGGUAGAAUUUUGGAUGAAUUUUAUAGUAUUUCUUCUUCUUUUUGUGUUUACCCCAAAUAACCUACGUUUUCUACGAUGGAAAUGGAUUGUUUGGGCAUGGAGAAAAAAAUUGCCAGCAUGCCACAUUUGGGAAACAAGUGAAUGAGAACGGUCAACACAUUGUGCGUAACAAGAUCCAUCAGAAAAUACGGAAGCUGCUAACCCCCAAGAAGUCACUUGGUCCCUGAAUCUUUUUCUCCAGUUUUACUGAGAUGCCUGGGAUGUGGACAAGAUGCCUGGAGAUUCAGAAACCAUUUGUGAUCAUGAAGACAAAAGCCACAAAGGACAUCAGCCUUGGACAGCCGAACGCCUACACCUUAUAUGAGAAAAAUAAGCCACUUGUCUACUGGAGCCAUUCUUACUUGAAGCUGACUGCCACUUCAGCUAUGGUUUAAGGAUUCAAAACACUUUUUUAAGUAGGUUCCACGCAUAGAGCCUGGCUGUGGGCUUUGAACUCACGACCCUGAGAUCAAGAUCUGAGCUGAGAUCAAGAGUCCAAUGCUCAACCCACUGAGCCACCCAGGCACCCUUCAAUUUUUUUUUUUUUUUUUUUUUUAGAGUCGAAAAAGAAGUACACAAUUUCAACAUAGAGCAGGAGGGAGCAAAUACCAAAAAUUAAUCCCGUCGGAAACACAGAAACAAGAACACAUAGAAAACAUUUUAAAAUAAAACCAGUGAGACCAGCAAAUCUCAAACAAAUCUUUGCUUAUUUUAGACAAAAACAAGAGAGCAAAACUAAACCGUAUUAAGAAGGAAUAAAAGAAGCACUACUCAUACAGCAUAGGUUUAAAAAAAUAAAUUGUAAGAAUUGUGCGGCAAGGACAGAAAAGAGGGAGCGUCCUCAGAGUCCCUAAUUUAGAGCACCCACUGUUUGAACCUCGUCCGUACCUGACGGUACUCGACUUAAGGAAUUGGGAUUAUUGCUUUUAUGCCAGCAAACCCAAAGAGUGGAAAAGGAGGCCCACCCGACCUGCAGGUGAGGCAGGGGGACCACACAUUUCAAUUGUGGGUUUGUUGCCCAUGGUUUAAACGGAGAGCCACCUGGGGGCCAGUGACGGAACAACAGGGGCUGCUUCCAGCUGUCGUUGGGGGAUCUGGGUAGACCCAGUGGUGUGGCCUCCAGCCUAGAGCUUUAGCCAAAAGAGAACCCUCGGCCCUCCCUCCCCUCCCUCCUCCUGUUCCAUGGCCACCGCGUCUCCCAGCUGCAGUGGAAGGGGUACCCGGGGAACGCCCACCCUGGAGUGGUGAAGGGCACCCACGGAGUAAGAGGGAAGAACUAAGAGUCAGCGUGAAGAAAUCCGCCCAGGAUUCCUGCAGGUGUUUUGAGCCUGGUGUCAAGGGGGAGAGAGAUUGUUGAUGGGAAGUUAGGGGGGUGUGGUCCACGUGGGGUCACCAUUAACAGGUGUGCAGGCAACGGCCAGUUCCCCUGGGCAGAUCGAGUAACCUCAAAGUGUGCUGUCCGGGAGGUUAGGGUGCUUGCGGGGAAGGGGAGAUUAGAGAGAGAGCGUUGAAGGAAAGGGGAGGCACAGGGAAACCCCCCUGUGUCCCUUGUCCCGUAAGCUUAUCCUCUCCUUCCCAAGCCCCACUCCUCUGUCUGGAGUCUCUCACUGCAGGUGUGCCCUAGGAGUGCCAGGCCCACCCACUCUCAGCCUCCAGAGCCCUUUUUGGACCUCAGUGACCCCCUUUCCAAAUGUCUGCUUAAUUUCUUCCUGUCCGCGUCCCACUGUUACCCCACCUUCAACAUGCCCACGCUCACAACCACGGACUCACCUUUCAAUUUCCCACAUUCCCUCCUCCUCUCCUGAAACGUCACCGGCCUUCAAGUUCUUCCAGUCUUUGCCUCACAAAGCCUCUCCAGAAGAACUUCUCAGUGACCAGUGCACACAUUCUCAGGGCCUGUGACCUCUGCUGUCUCUUAUUACCCAUCUGAGAGGGAAGUUCUGAGCUCAAACUCCACCUCCUGCUUGGUGAGACAGUGACUGGGAGCUAAAAGGUUGGCGGAACAUGUUGGUUUCGAUCAGUCAUACGUGCCUGUUUCUACCUUAUUAACUGUACUAUGUCAACCUUAUUUAAAAGCUGCAGACAUUUGUGGAGAGCUGUGGGGCAUCGAUAAAUGAAAUGUUUAAGAUGUUUUAGGGAUUCAGACUUUAUCUUUCCUGUUCUUUGCCAUCCCACAGCCCUUUCCCCAGGCCAGGCUUUCAUUGCCUCACA